UAUAGUCUGGCCUGCUCAGUGACGUUUAAUGUUAAAUAGCUGCGGUAUCUUAACCGUGCAAAGGUAGCAUAAUCAUUAGUUUUUUAAUUGAAAGCUUGUAUGAAUGGUUAGACAAAGAAAAAGCUGUCUUUUUUAUUAAUAUUGAAAUUAACUUCUAAGUGAAAAGGCUUAAAUUUUCUAGAGGGACGAUAAGACCCUAUAAAGCUUUAUAAAUUUAGGUAUUUUAAUUAUUUAUGGUAUAACUUUUUUUACUGAAAUUUUAUUUAGUUGGGGCGACGGUAGUAUAAAUAAAAGUAACUGCUAUUAUUUUAAACAAUUAUAUUUGAUUGGACUAGCUAAUAUUAAAUGAUCCCUUUUAAGGAUUAAAAGAUCAAGUUACUUUAGGGAUAACAGCGUAAUUUUUUUUGAGAGUUCAUAUCGAAGAAAAAGUUUGCGACCUCGAUGUUGAAUUAAAGUUGUCUUUAUGGUGCAGCAGCCAUAAAAGAAGAUCUGUUCGAUCUUUAAUUCUUUACGUGAUCUGAGUU
rnacentral:rRNA from 1 species